CCUACGGGCGGCAGCAGUGGGGAAUAUUGGACAAUGGGCGAAAGCCUGAUCCAGCCAUGCCGCGUGUGUGAAGAAGGCCUUCGGGUUGUAAAGCACUUUCAGUGGGGAAGAAAGCCUUGGGGCUAAUACCCUCGAGGAAGGACAUCACCCACAGAAGAAGCACCGGCUAACUCCGUGCCAGCAGCCGCGGUAAUACGGAGGGUGCGAGCGUUAAUCGGAAUUACUGGGCGUAAAGCGCGCGUAGGCGGUCUGAUAAGCCGGUUGUGAAAGCCCCGGGCUCAACCUGGGAACGGCAUCCGGAACUGUCAGGCUAGAGUGCAGGAGAGGAAGGUAGAAUUCCCGGUGUAGCGGUGAAAUGCGUAGAGAUCGGGAGGAAUACCAGUGGCGAAGGCGGCCUUCUGGACUGACACUGACGCUGAGGUGCGAAAGCGUGGGUAGCAAACAGGAUUAGAUACCCGGGUAGC
rnacentral:rRNA from 1 species